UUUUAUUAGAAAUUAUUAAUAAUAAAAUCUGCUCAAUGAAAAUUAAAUAGCCGCAAUCGUGCUAAGGUAGCAUAAUCAUUUGUCUUUUAAUUUAAGACUAGAACAAAAGAUUUAACAUUUAAAUAAAUUUUUAUAAUUUAUAACUUAAAAUUAUUUUUAAUGUAAAAAAACAUUAAUAAAUAAAAUAGACGACAAGACCCUAUAGAACUUUACUUUAGUUUAACUGGGGCAGUUAAUUAUUAAUUAUUAUAAUUUAAAAUAAAUUAAAAGUGACCUAAUAUAAUUAAUUAUAUGACCAAGUUACCUUAGGGAUAACAGUGUAAUAUUAUUUUAAAGAUCUUAUUAAAAAUAAUGAUUGCAACCUCGAUGUUGACUAAUAUCCUAAAUUAACGCAAUAGUUAUUAAUGGAAGUCUGUUCGACUUUUAAACAAUUACA
rnacentral:rRNA from 1 species